UUCCGAGAGGGGACAGACCAUUUUGACACCUCUUGUCUUUUGCAGCUUUGAGAGCCCUGAGAUUCAGCCCCUGCUUGGGACAUAGUGGCUAUAGGGAGAGUCUUCUCAGGCAGUGAACCGAGAAAGAAGGUUGCAUGGGGUCCUCCUGAGACACACCUAGGCACUCUGAAAAAUAUUUCAGUGAAACUUCUAUGGGGAAGUGCUGGAGGCCUGUGUCAGCAGGUGGGAGGCCCCAGUGACAUCUGUUAAUGUGGAUUCAUUUGUCCCUCUGGUGCUGGGCCUGAGCAAAUUUGGGAUGCACAUACAUCCUUUCAUUGGAUUCUUGUUAUAUCCCUUUGAGGUCAGCAUAGCAAGUACUGUAGACUCAUUUUUUUUUUUUUCUGCAGAGGAAGAAACUGAGGCUAAAGAACAAAAACUUGCUGAAGGUCACUCAGCUUGGGCUGUGGGACUUGUUUUCCUGCCCCGAGCCCAGCGUCCUUCCCACCAUCCAACACUGUUUCCUUUCUUGGUACCUCCAUUAUUAGAACACCUGGAUAUUCUUAGCUAACAAUGGAUGACAUAAAUAAACACACGGUCAUUUCCCCACAUUUCCGCACAGGUCCUCUGCAGAUGGCAGAGCCCUUUCUCUAAAUGCAUGGCAUGAAAAGGCAUUUCAAAGGUUGGAAAGAGAGCUUCAGCAUUAAUCAUGAUGGGAUAGCGGAAACUGGCUUUGCAAGGGAUGGACUGGACUUCAGGGAAGAUGGACAGCCUGAGCUCACUUUCAGGAGAGCUCACUUUCAGGAGAUCAGUCAGGGCUGUCAUUCCAGGGCCUGGGUGGAGGGCUUCUGCUGUGCCAGGGAACAGGUGUCUGGACUCGGUCUCCCAGGGGAGAAGCAGGCCCCCCACAAAGGACAUAAAUCUCUACAGAUGAGGAUACCUCACUGGGCUUUUGUUUGUCAGCCAAAAAGGGAAAAACAUUUCAGCAGAGGCCUCAAAGGCAGAACAAAAUAGUGCAAGGAGCCGCACAUCCGCACAGUGCUGAGACCCUGCCCAGGACAAGCUUGAUCCUGGCACCCAAGUGACAACCUGCAUUGAAAAGGCGGAACUUGGCUCUCCUGCCCUGCCAGCUGUAAGAGCUUGAAAGCAAAGCUAUGGGGGGAAUGUCUUUCAUUUCCCCCUGGAAGCUGGGAGGACGUUCAGCUUAGCAUUGCCAACUGUGUAAUGUGGACUUGCCUCUAAAAGAAGCCUUUUUCCUUGGAUGUCUUUCAGGCCGCAGUAUUCCCUUUGGCACCCCCACCCACCUGGAACAAAGCCUGAUGUAAAGUCUGGGUGCGACUCAGACCGGCCUGGGAAAGAAUUUAUUUAAUAAAUGGUGGAAAGUGGCUUC
rnacentral:lncRNA from 1 species